rnacentral:lncRNA from 1 species
AUGUGAAACAACCAUUUCAACCAGCUUGGACAAAAGAGAGAAGCCAAGAUGGGGCUGAGAAACCAAUGCAGGCAGGCCCAGGGACCCAGGAGUCAGGGACCAGGUGCUACCAGAUGCUUGCUCCGACUCGUGUUGCUGCUGUCUUCUCUGUGCCUCAACUCUGUCCUCUGUCACUGCAGGCAGCUUCCUCCCAAGGUGGAAGGCGAUAUAUCCCACCUCAUGAAAUCAGGCUUCACCACAAGAUUGCUUUGACCAAUGGGACGUGAGUAGAAGUUUGAAGAACCACAGACUGGUCCAUCACCUUGUUUCUUAUCCCUCUGACAUAAGCAAUGUCCCAGACUGGGGCUGUUCUGUUAGCCUGGCUUCCAGAAUGAAGAGAGCUGAUCUACAUGGCAUAUGUAACAUAAAUAAACCUUUGUUAUUACAAA